AACAGGAUUAGAUACCCUGGUAGUCCACGCCGUAAACGAUGAGUGCUAGGUGUUGGGGGGUUCCCCCCCUCAGUGCCGAAGGUAACCCAUUAAGCACUCCGCCUGGGGAGUACGGCCGCAAGGCUGAAACUCAAAGGAAUUGACGGGGGCCCGCACAAGCGGUGGAGCAUGUGGUUUAAUUCGAAGCGACGCGAAGAACCUUACCAGGGCUUGACAUCCCGCUGACCGCUCCAGAGAUGGGGCUUCCCUUCGGGGCAGCGGUGACAGGUGGUGCAUGGUUGUCGUCAGCUCGUGUCGUGAGAUGUUGGGUUCAGUCCCGCAACGAGCGCAACCCUUAUCGCCAGUUGCCAGCAUUUCGGAUGGGCACUCUGGCGAGACAGCCGGUGAAAGCCGGAGGAAGGUGGGGAUGACGUCAAAUCAUCAUGCCCCUUAUGUCCUGGGCUACACACGUGCUACAAUGCCCAGUACAAAGGGAAGCGAACCCGCGAGGGGGAGCCAAUCCCAAAAAACUGGUCUCAGUUCGGAUCGCAGGCUGCAACUCGCCUGCGUGAAGCCGGAAUCGCUAGUAAUCGCGGAUCAGCAUGCCGCGGUGAAUACGUUCCCGGGCCUUGUACACACCGCCCGUCACACCACGAGAGUUUGCAACACCCGAAGUCGGUGAGGCAACCCUUCUGGGAGCCAGCCGCCGAAGGUGGGGCAGAUGAUUGGGGUGAAGUCGUAACAAGGUAACC
rnacentral:rRNA from 1 species